rnacentral:rRNA from 1 species
GACGUAGGAUGCAAGCGUUGUCCGGAUUUAUUGGGCGUAAAGAGUUCGUAGGCGGUUCGUUAAGUCUGAUGUUAAAGACUGGGGCUCAACCCCGGGAAUGCAUUGGAUACUGGCGGACUGGAGUGUGGUAGAGGCUAGUGGAAUUCCCAGUGUAGCGGUGAAAUGCGUAGAUAUUGGGAAGAACACCAGUGGCGUAGGCGACUAGCUGGGCCAUAACUGACGCUGAGGAACGAAAGCCAGGGGAGCGAAUGGG